CGCGCCGGCGCGCCAAGCUAGAGGUUGGAGAAGCCAACGGGUGCGCGAGCACGACCGAGGCGGUCCGUGUGCCUCAGACUGAGGGGAGCGGUGAGAGGCACUGGGCGCCGGCGAUACCCAAAGAAGCCAGAGCAUGCUUCCAGCGCCUGGCCAACUGACACGAGAACAGUCCUUCCACAUGAGGGCUACCAGAGCCACCAGACAGGACUGAUGGGGAAGAAAGCCUUACCUGGUAAGCCAGUUGACGCUUCUCAUCCUGAAAACUCUGAACAAACUCAUAGAGUUUCUCCCACUCCUGGAAGUAGCUGCUGUUGAAGCCAGGAUCCCCCAUCAGUAGCCUCCAGAUCCGGUAAGGCAGAAGAAGGAAAAGCUCCAUGAGGCGGCCAAGAAGGGGGAAGAAGUUGAACCAGUUCAAGAGGGAGCCAAGGGUUUCUGCCACAUAGCUGAGGGUGGCAGCUGUGUUGCAGAGGGCACUGUAUACCAGUGGGCCCGUGAAAGCAAGGUGCAUCCAGGCCAGGCACAGUGCCUCUCACCUGCAAUCCUAGCUCUUUGGAAGGCCAAGGCAGGUGGAUCACUUGAGGGGAGGAGUUCAAGACCAGGCUGCCCAACAUGGUGAAACCUCAUCUCCACUAAGCAUA